CUCAGCACACACCCCACUUUGAGGAGACCUGUGCACCGUCAUUGUCCCACAGACCCUCAGACUCUAGAAGACCAUGACUUGUGCAUCCCAUGUCCCCACAGAGCAAAGCGCUUUAACGCCCAGCUUUCCCCUGGGUUCCACCUUCCACUGGAGUUGGGUCUAAAUUCCUUCCUCUCCUACCAGCACUUGGUGGUCUAGAGGAAAUUUAAAAGUAUCCUCUUCUGGGAGGUUCAGUGGUUUCAGCUGGAGGUUGGGUCCUCCCUGAACAGUUCUGCCCACAAUGACCCCUGGGAGACCCCCCGCUCGACUUAAACAUCAUCUGCAAGAUGAUUGCUUUCACAUUCACAUCUGGACCAGCCUCUCAACUUCUGGGAGCCUGGGCACAUUCACUUGGAGGGUAUGGUAAAGGGCUGAAGUUCACAGGAUGAUUUCUCAGCUGCCACCCCACCCCCAUGGCCUGUGGAGCCCAAGUUCCCCUUUCAGGCAGGGUCACAGGUCUGUCACUCACGGCUUCCUCUUGGGAUGUCCUCAGCUCCACCCCAUAGCUGGGCAUUUUCCUACCUGACACAGGAACAUAAACCAUCUCUGCCCUGUCAGGGGCAGACAUCAUGCCCCUGAUGCUGGGGCUUGAACCUGACCCUGGGGUCACCAUGGAGCAGAGAGGGAAUCAGAGUGUGAAUGCACUCAAGAUUGUGCAAAUCAUAUUCCAUCCCAUCCUGGAGGGCAAGGUUCCGUGCCUGCUGUGCAUGGCUGACAGCAACACCCUCCCUGCAGUGCUGAGCUGAUUCUGGAGUUCUCCAGUCCUGAACAUCCCCCCACCCCCACCCUGCCCCUGAUCUCCAAAAGCACGAUCCUGGAGCUGCCUCGUGUGAAGACUGUGGAAGAGGGACAGUACACCUGCCAGGCUCAGCCCCCACUGAGCUCCAAACAUGUUUCCUUCAGCCUCUCUGUGCAGAGACCUCCCUGUUCCUGCAAAUGUGUGACUCAGGAGCAGCAGGCCUCCUGGCCCCUGGUCCUCACUCUGAUCUGAGGGGGCCUCAUG